UCCCCCGUGAGGGAAGAGGUGCUCAGGCUGUCGGAAAGCCUAUGGUCUACACUUUGUUUCUUCUUGUUGGUGACAGAGUUGAACCCUGAUCACCAUUUCUUCAGCGUACAUCCUAGCUAUGGAGCUGUCUAGAGGCUGCUGGGUGCUCUGUGGGUUCCUUCUGAACUGUUCUGCACUGCAAAAAACACUGAAACCAUCCAAGCAGGGUGGCUUGGUGAGCUGCAUGGAGAGAAUGGGCAGUGCUGAUCCCAGUUCCUGGUAGAACACCAGCCCAGCCAAAGAGAUGCUUUAGAUCAUUCACUUGGAAGAACGCUCACUUUGAGAAGAAAAGACAUCACUCCUCCAAGAAGUCCCGGGCUGCUAUUCUGGACCACACUGUUGGAUCUAAACACUCCUUUGCCGUGUCCAUUCAAGUUCCCAUUUGCAGUCCUGACAGUGCCCAGGAAGAAUGCAUUCACUGAAUAUUCAGCAGUCCCAGGAGAAAGAUAUUCAGGGAUGGGUGAAACGUUGGUUGUCUCUCAGCAUCAUUCUCUCUCUACAUACCCAUGUACUGACAGGCAUGAUCUGACCUUGGUGAAGCCAUGCUGACUGUCUCAGAUCACCUCCUCGUCUCACAUGUGCCUUGACAUAGCACAGAGAUCACAGAAUCACAGAAUGGGUUGGAAGAGACCUCAAGGAUCAUGAAUCUCCAACCCCCCUGCCGGGCAGGGCCACCAACCUCCCCAGUUACUAGACCAGGUUGCCCAGGGCCCCAUCCAACCUGGCCUUGAACACCUCCAGGGACGGGGCAUCCACAACCUCUCUGGGCAGCCUGUUCCAGCACCUCACCACUCUCCUGGUAAAGAACUUCCCCCUAACAUCCAACCUAAAUCUUCCCUCUUUCAACUUAAAACCAUUCCCCCUUGUCCUGCUGUUAUCUACC
ensembl:lncRNA